rnacentral:rRNA from 1 species
UACGUAGGGGGCUAGCGUUGUCCGGAAUCACUGGGCGUAAAGGGCGCGUAGGCGGCUCGGUCAGCGUGCGGUGAAAGCCCGGGGCUCAACCCCGGGUCGGCCGUGCGAACUGCUGGGCUGGAGCACUGUAGAGGCAGGUGGAAUUCCGGGUGUAGCGGUGGAAUGCGUAGAGAUCCGGAAGAACACCGGUGGCGAAGGCGGCCUGCUGGGCAGUAGCUGGACG